CAGAGCAUCAUGCCCCCCGGGGUAGAUCUCCCACCCUUUGUCGUUCUUACUCUGUUGCUUUGGCGGGCCGCCUCGGCCACCGGCUCCGGCUGGUGCGUGCCCGCCAGAGGACCCCCAACUCUGAAUGUUAGUGCCGUCUGAGUACUAUCUAAUAGUUA
rnacentral:misc_RNA from 1 species